rnacentral:lncRNA from 1 species
AGUCCACAACCCCUUUAAAAGCCAAAGGAAACCCAAAGGAAACCCAAACUGGAGUUGUCGUGGCACAGAGGAAAUGAAUCGACUAGGAACCAUGAGAUUGCGGGUUAGCCAUGGCCUCACUCAGUCGGUUAAGGAUCCGGCGUUGCCGUGAGCUGUGGUGUAGGUCACAGACAUGGCUCAGAUCCGGAGUGGCUGUGGCUGUGGCUGUGGCUGUGGCCAGCAACUGUAGCUCUGAUUAGACCCCUGGCCAGGGAACCUCCAUAUGCCGAAGGUGUAGCCCUAAAAAAAGAAAAGGGAAAGAAAAAACCCAAACUAACAUACACCAGUCCCAAUGCACAACAUGCAUUGAAAAGAUUUGUCAGUUUGAAAUUUCUAAAUGCAGGUCAAAUCCCAUUAGAGCAUAUCUAUAUAUGGUUAAAAUAAAAAUCCCUGGUCCCAUCCAAAGAUUCUCAGUUAAAAUAAUGUAAGUACAACAAGAGAAUAUUGGCAAUUCUGUCAUCUCCAAUUGGCUCUGUGUGUUUUAAAAUUGACCAGAAUGCCAUGUGUGUUUGAUUAGCACUUUACACCUUGUUUACAAUGUACAGGGGUUGGGGACAAACUUGUUGGCAUCUGUCCAUCCGUUCCUGAUGAGCCACCAGGCUGAGAAACCUCCCUUGAUUGGGAUAAAUAGGGCAAAAGCCAAGCUGACUUUGUGAAACAUCAGAGGGUCCUUUUAAAAGAGAGAAAGAAAUGUCCCAAAACCUGAGCUGGACUCCUAGAGCUCUCCUGACUCCCCAGAACCAGCAUCUAGGAAAGAGGCUCAUUUAUGGUGCUACCCCUUCCCCUGGGCCACAGCAGUGUUUUCCCUUUGGGCUAAAGUUAUAAAUCACAGCUGGUUUCCAAGACUACUUAGUCAACCCCCAUGGCUGCUGACCUAUUCAGAACUGUUACUAAGAAUAUCUGCUGCACCACCCCAGGCCUGGGGAGGCCUCAUGAGCCAUGGGGUGGGGAGAGAGCCUUGACCAGCAGCUGCACAGAGUAGCCAGGAGUGAGGUCAGCACAGUCAUGACUGGGGACCCUGAUCUAUCAGGCUCACAGAGCAGACAAGGAUGGACUAAGACAGGGUUCAUCCAGGUUUCAAAAUCAGAAAAUAGAGAACUCUGGAGAAAAGAAUGAGGCCCAGAAGUUUGGAAAAACUUGCUCAAAGCACACAGACGUGUUAGCCGGCACUGACAGUACCGCAGUCUGGGGCCUCCCUGAAAGCUAAGGGAGCUGGGACGUCUGAUCCAGGUACUGAGAGUCAGAGAUUGAUUCCCAGAGGAAGUUCAGUGUGAGGUCACUCCAGGCCUGCCUCACGAAGGUGUGUUCAAAGGGAGUCUUGUGCCCAUCAUGUGCUUUGACUCAGCUACCAAGUUGGUCCUGCCACAGAUGGAAACUGUCAGUUUUAAAGAGCCUGAGCUAGGGAGCUCCCAUUGUGGCUCAGUGGGUUAAGGACACAAGGUUGUCUCUGUGAGGAUGCAGGCCGAUCCCUGGCCUUGCUCAGUGGGUUAAGGAGCUGGCACUGCUGCAGCGUAGCUCAAAGAUGUGGCUGGGAUCCGGUAUUGCGCUGACUGUGGAAUCAGCCUCCGCUGCAGCUCCAAUUCGACCCCUGACUGGGGAACUUCCGUAUGUCACAGGCGCAGCCAUAAAAAGAAAAAAAUUUAAAAAUAAAUAAAGAGCCUGAGCCAGUUAAGGCCAAGCAAGCACUCGUGAGGGUAAGAGGUCCCCCUGUGAAACCAGGCACUGGUUUUCACAUCCAGCAGGAGGUACCUGUUUUCUGCCUGGCUUUGCAGUUCAGCAGCAGAGUCACUGUCCCCAAGAUGGACUGAAUAGGACUGGUUAUCAGGGAGAAGGGUGCUGGCUUGUUUGAGAAACUUCCUUUGUUGGUGUAACUCUCCAAAAUCCAAUAUAAUCUUCAGGGUAGGAGUUGAGGUUUUGACUCCUGGUUAAUAUUGCCGAUGCACUAUAAAUCAGAUGGAUUAUAUGUGCUAAUUUAGGGACUGAGAACUAUUCAUAACACUGCUUUUGAUGGGUAAAUUCAUUCUGGUUCCAAUCAACUGGCAAAGAAUGCUUAGAAUAUGUUCCAGCUAUGGAAAUUGAGUCUGUAUGAUAUACAUUAUAAUCCGAGAUAUUAAUCAGAACUGAUAAAGUAGGUAUAAAAUGGAAAAUAUUUUAUUUUAAAAUCCGUAUUUGGCCUGACUACAUCCAUGUUCCUACCCUAAAUGGUUUAACAUAUGGAACAAAAUGGGAGGGGGUUGCUGAUAAAAUGCAGGUUUCUCACUGUUGGAGGAGUUGCAGAUAAGAAAGGGGAGGAGACUAAAAUGACCCCCGUGGAAAUGGAGACAUCAGUACAAAUUCAUGUUUAGUUAAAUAUAGACACAAUUGACUUUGUAUUAAAAUACUUACAGAUAUGUAUAUGUACAUGGUUAGUAAACACAUAUAUUUUCCUUAUUCUGUCAGCUCAGACCUAUAAGCAACAGUAACAAAUAUUCUUACUCCUGUCAUUUUUACACAGAGUAGCAUAAUACACACCAUUCUGCACCUUGCUUUUUCACUUACUGCAUCCUACAUAUCUUCCAUAUCAUCACAUAGGCUCACAAUUUUUUUUUAAUGGCUGCACAGAAUUGUGUGUAUAUAACAAUGCAACAGCUUCCUAUUAGUGAACAUGUAUUAUUUCCUAUCUUUUGCCUUUUCAAAUAAUGCAGCAAUAAAUCCCCUGGUACAUACAUCAUUUUGUACACACACACAUAUAUCUAUAGCAUGGGGUUCUAGAAGUGACAAUACUGAAUUAAAGGGGACGUGCAUUUGUAAUUUAACGAGUACAGAUUUUAGAGCAUAGAGCUCGUUCCAUUUUUAUACUCCUGCCAGUAAUUUACAAGACUGCCAGUUUUCUCACAGCCUUAGAGUUUGAUGUCCUGGUUCUGGCAUUUUGCCAAUUUGGUAAGAAAUGAUACAUCUGGAAGUUCCCGUCAUGGCUCAGCGGAAACGAAUCUGACUAGCAUCCAUGAGGAUGCAAGUUCGAUCCCUGGCCUUGCUCAUUGGGUUAAGGAUCCAGCGUAGUGUUGCUGUGAGCUGUGGUGUAGGUCACAGACACGUCUGGGAUCCCGAGUGGCUGUUGCUGUGGUGUAGGCCAGCAGCUGUGGCGCCAAUUCAACCCCGAGCCUGGGAACUUCCAUAUGCCGCAGGUGCAGCCCUAAC